UAUAAGAACCAGUCCAUUUACCAUAUAAGAGAAGGAUUAAAAAUGUCUAUUGGUUUCUCCAGUUUUGCUUUAUUGUGCAUUUUUAUGUAGCCAAGACUGGUUUAGUGAACUGUUGAAUGAAAAAUGAACAAAUGUAAUCUUUUUUGUGAAUAAGUGUAUAAAUAAUCUGCACACACACAUGUACAUUUUUGUUUCUCUGUGUCAUUAUUAGCAGAGCUAAGUCGAGAUCUUUUAUUUGUCUUCACUGUCAGAGAUCUGAUUAUAUUUCCUGUGUCGUGUGUGCUUCCAGGUUUGGAGUAAAAAGGAAGGUGAGAAAAAAGUUUUAUGCUGUCACAGUCACUCAUCUAAAGACAGGUUGUUGAAUGAAGCAACUGAACAUGUUUAAAUGUGGAGUUACUGCAGAUUUCUGUGCACUUGUCAUAGCUGUGGAUCGUUCGAAGUGUUCAUGUGUCCUUCAGGUUCUCCAGUUUCUUUAAAGUGCAGGUAUGCAGGUUACCUGAUCCAUGUUUUCUGUUGGUGCAUCAAAGUGACAUUUCACCCUGUCAUAUUGAAGUAACUCAUUCAAGGAGCUUCAGUCUUAGGUACUGAUUUAGUUAUCUUACUGACUCAUCAGUUUCUGCACCAAAGCUUCUCUCACCAAAGCCACGGCAUAGCUGGACAAGGUCAUUGUUCCAACCUAAGCCACACUGCCUAGAGUAUUUAGUUCACUUUGUGGCAGUUUCUUUAUUUCUUAAUGUUUUUUUUCUGUUAGUGCCUGAGUUGCUUCGUCAGCAGCUCCUUCAGUUGUUGGAGGAUGGAGAAGAGGAUGCAGCUGUGACUUGUGAGACGCCGUCUGAGUUGGCUGCUACUCACUGGGAAAUCAGAAACAUGGUGUCCUUGCAAAAGUAGAAAGAGACCAGGCCUUGUCUUAUUGACAAUAUGUUAGCUCCUCUGGCUCCACAGCCACACAGUGUGUGUCAGUGUGGCAAACAAGUUGUUGUGAGGUGCCUGGACUGACUGCCUCUUCCAUUCCUUUGUGCCCACUGUGAUAUUGCAGUUCACACAGUGCACAACAGAGAGGCAAUGACAGGAGGGUUUUUGCAGCCUUCAUCAGAGUUUCACCAGCAAAUAGGUACAGUUUUUAAGUCCUAUACAUCCCUUACUAUGCACUAUGAGUGGGUGCUGUUAUUGUAUAUUUAUUGUGUAUCAGUGGACUUCCAAUUCUUUUUAUAUAUAUUGUGUGUUUUAAUGUUAGUGCCGCUGUUGCCUGUGCAAAGGCCAGAUGAUGUGUGUGGCUGCACAGCAGGUAACGUUGAGGGUUCACCUGGCGCAAUAGUGGCUCUUGUAACCAUAAAUGAAACUGAUCAAACCGAUGGCAGCCUUGGAGCGUUGCAGGCACGAAUAGAGGAGCUUGUCGCCAUCAUCAGAGUGCAAACAAAAUCUUUACAAACAAAGACAAAGUGACCGACAUUUGGCCCUGGCAGAGCACAAGUGAAUCUGUUGCAGACCUCCAGACAAAGAGAAAGGUCUUCGAGAAGGUGAUGGCUGUGAGGUGCCUGAGAGAGGAGGAGAUGAUCGUUUGCAGGGAAAUGCAGCAUCACUGGACAGUGUUGUGAGUGCGAUCUGUGGUGUUGGGGACAAUCUCCUCAGACUCCUCCCUUUUUGGCAUGUCGGAGGAUGCACAGAGGGGACUGUGAUUACAAUGUAAUGAUUACAGGACAUCAGACUACUUGUUCUUAUUGUUUAAUCACGAAAAAUUGUCAUAUAGAAAUAAAAAACCUGAAGUUGUUAAUUGAUGCUAUUUGAACACUAUAUCUUGUCAUUUAACAUGUAUAUACUUGCCUGGAAAUUUCAACAGCUUUUCAUGUGUUUUGAAACUGGGUUUUUGGAGACCUCAAAUGUAAAAUGUUCUGUCUCUAAAGCACACAAAAAUGUUCGGACAUUUUUCAUAGUGCAUGUUUGAGGAUUAUUUUUUCCAGAGAAAUAAUUAACACAGUUCAGCGGGCUACAUGCUGAACUUAAAAAGCAAAGUAUUGAUCCAAUCGUGCUAGUAUCGAUCCGAUACCAAUGGUAGAGUUGUUAUCCAUACUAUCCAUAUUUGGAUCAAUCCGCCCACCUCUAGUUGUUUCAUUUCUGUUGACCUUCCAGUUAUUUUUUUAAACUGCGUUAAAAAUUAUGUCACUGACCAGGUUGUUGGUUAGUUUCAGAGUAGGCUACAAAAUCCUUUAAAUAGUGAAAUGUAAAAAAAUUUAGCAGAGUGCAUUUUAUUCACCAAAUUUUGUUCUCAUACUCAACAGUUAACUUGUGCAUCAUUCAUCACUGUUACUUGAGAGCACAAUAAAUAUGAGCCUGAAUGAAAAAUUUUAUUCCCUUUUAAUCAAAAGUGGUAUAGUGAGUAUUAUUUACUUCUUAGAAAAUAAAGUUUGCCAAAAUAAGUUGUUGAUAGCUUGUUUUUGUUAUACAGUCUAUGAUUGCAUGUAGGCUACUAAUAGUUGAUGUUCCAAGAAAUAUUUAAAAUGAUUUCAGUAGAAGAGGCAAAGAUGGUGAAUUCCAGAUUAAAUAGUGCGCUCAUGAGAUACAGCUUUAAGAUGUGGCAGGAUAAGUAUGUGUUGUCAGCAGCUAGAAGACAACCAGUGCCAUUAGC